rnacentral:rRNA from 1 species
UACGGAGGGGGUUAGCGUUGUUCGGAAUUACUGGGCUUAAAGAGUUCGUAGGUGGUUGAAAAAGUUGGUGGUGAAAUCCCAGAGCUUAACUCUGGAACUGCCAUCAAAACUUUUCAGCUAGAGUUUGAUAGAGGAAAGCAGAAUUUCUAGUGUAGAGGUGAAAUUCGUAGAUAUUAGAAAGAAUACCAAUUGCGAAGGCAGCUUUCUGGAUCAUUACUGACACUGAGGAACGAAAGCAUGGGUAGCGAAGAGG